UUUUCAGAUAGGAAGAACUUAUCAAAAUUGUCUUUUUUCCUUGUCAUCGAUUUUACAGCGUUGAUAUCGAUGUAUCUUAAUCGCUAUCGAAUACAGGUUAUCGUUUAUACAGUAGGGUUAUUUUAUAUAUGUAUUGAAUAAGCGUUGUUUUUAAGAAAUGUGGCUCCCCUUCGGUGUUAUCCACUUGAGUCAACCGCCUCAGUAGCCUAUUCUUGUUGUGGGGCACAGCUGAGAAGUCUGAAGAGCGAACGCUGUUUUUUGUGGGCACGAUACAAGUUGUUUUCUACUUUUUAUGUUGCUGAAAAAUCUUUUGGAGUUGCGGUUUGUGUGCGAUUCUAAUAAUCCUUUUCUUUACAUAUGUACAUACAUACAUGGGUAGGUAUGUAUGUACAUUUGAAUUUUCAAUCUG